GGAAGGGUGGCCGAGUGGUUGAAAGUGUAGCACUGGAAAUGCUAUGUAGACUCUUGUUUCCCGAGGGUUCGAAUCCCUCCCCUUCCU
rnacentral:tRNA from 1 species